rnacentral:rRNA from 1 species
CCCUUUGAUACUCUGGGCCGCACGCGCGCUACACUGAUGCAUUCAACGAGUUUCUUCCUGGUCCGAGAGGAAUGGGUAACCUUUUGAAAGUGCAUCGUGAUAGGGAUAGACUAUUGCAAUUAUUGGUCUUCAACGAGGAAUUCCUAGUAGACGUAGUUCAUCAGACUGCAUCGAUUACGUCCCUGCCCUUUGUACACACCGCCCGUCGCUCCUACCGAUUGAAUGCUCAGGUGAGCCAUUCGGACUUUCAUCAUGCUGGUUUCCAGUUUUGAUGAAGGAAAGUCUUGCGAACCUUAUCAUUUAGAGGAAGGAGAAGUCGUAACA